rnacentral:rRNA from 1 species
GACGAACGCUGGCGGCGUGCCUAAUACAUGCAAGUCGAACGGUUUAGUUCCAAGAGGCUUGCCUUUUGGAACUAGACAGUGGCGGACGGGUGAGUAACACGUAGGCAACCUACCUGUCAAACCGGGAUAACCUCGGGAAACCGAAGCUAAACCCGGAUAAGCUCCUUUUUCGCAUGAAGGGGGAGUGAAAAGGUGCGACCUGAUGACAGAUGGGCCUGCGGCGCAUUAGCUAGUAGGUAGGGUAACGGCCUACCUAGGCGAUGAUGCGUAGCCGACCUGAGAGGGCGUACGGCCACACUGGGACUGAGAUAAGGCCCAGAAUCCUACGGGAGGCAGCAGUAGGGAAUCUUCGGAAAUGGGCGAAAGCCUGACCGAGCAACGCCGCGUGAGUGAGGAAGGCCUUCGGGUUGUAAAACUCUGUUGUUUGGGAAGAAGGGAAAGGGUAGGACCCUUAGGUGACGGUACCAAACGAGAAAGCCCCGGCUAACUACGUG